UCAGCCAGCUGCUGCGCUCACACUCCUCUCCCUCUCGCGCUCGCUGUACAACAACUCCAACUACUGGAUCUGCACUGCAAAAAAGGGACCUUUGCAGGGGGUACUCCCACCAACGUAGGCCGAGUUGCAGCGACGCCACAGAUGCGCACGGGAGCUUCGAAGUUCCAAGUUAAACAACACAAAAGCGAGGAAACCAUGCAGCGCAUUUCAUGCUAGAUAUGAAAAGACUGCAGAUCCUCCAAGUAGAGGUUUUUGUAAAGCACGUGGAGCCCAUUCAGCUGAGCAGCAGAAGCUGCUACAACAGAAGAAAAUCAAACACACUCACCUACUUUAGAGGUUUGAUAGCAUUUUGUCCAGUGUAAAUCUGAAAGAAUGUAUACCAGAACUAUUAAAUCGUUUAAAAGUUUUGAUAAAGGAGAAAUAAUCUAAAUUAUGUCCAAAUAACUAAAACUGCGUAGGCUAUUUGCUGUUUAUUUAAAUGACCUACCUGAAUGUUUAGUACAUUCAGAUUCAGAUAAAAAACGUUGGAAAUUUGUUCUUUUCUAAUGAAACUAAAUUAAUAUAUAAAUAAAUAAAGAGUUUUCUGACCCUCAAACAAAUCCAUAUAGGCUAAUGAAAUGGCAAAUUAUAAUGGCUAACAUAACUCUUUCCUAACAAUGAGAUAUUGUGUUUAUAUUGGGUUGGGUAAAACAACCAAAAAAGUUAAUCCAGACCAAGAAAGUUGUGCAAGAUAAAAUGUUACACAGUUACAAUACUGUAUCAAUAUUUUCAACUCCCCACUCUACAUCUGCUAAUGUUUACUACAUUCAUACUGUGAUCUGCCAACAUGGCACAAAAAACGAGAGAAAAAUCUAUGAAUUUGUUGCAGAUGCAUAAAAGUUUGAGGCAGAUUCAAAUGAGACCCCCACGGCUAGUUUUCCAGUAAGCGGCAGCACGCGCAAUUUGCAUAACUCUCCAUUAGCAUUAGAGCAAUGCUAGAUCUGGAUCUCUGUCAUUGUUCCUGCUGCUAAAGCUGUUCUGGCCAUGACUUAUAAAUGCCUAAUUCAAGCCACAUCCAUCUUGUGUGCACCUCCUCCGCAUCAACACUCAAUCCUGCACGUGUUCCAGGAGAGUGAAAAAUGUCCCAGACUGGAGGAGAGUACCACAGAUGCAGGCUUUACAUCUCGUCCGUACUGUAAAAAAUCCCUUAUGCAGUGCAUAUAGGAGCGAUCCAAUGCAUACAUAAGCCUCCUGCAGCCAUCCUCUAGGCCCCUGUGAUGAGCCUGCUCCAAUUAAGCACUGGAAGGUGUUCGCCGCGUUUGUACCGAGGCAAGAUACAUAAUUAAUGCGAUGCAUGGCACAUCAAAGAUCAAAGGCACUUGUGCAACAAAAAAAAAAGAGUAAAGUUAAGUCUGACUGGGCACUGAUUCAAGGUGUGUUUCUGUGUAGGUGUGCAGAUGUGUGAGGAAAGAAAAGAAAUGAGUCCUGCGGAUGGCUGAUUAUUCCACUCAAGGCCGUGCUUUUGUGUGAAUAUUUCCUUCAUCCAUCUUGCAAGUAAACAUUUAUCAAUCAUCAGACGGCGUCAUGUUAGCGCUGUGAUGUUAAGUGUCUUAAUUGACUGGGUAAAUGCUCAUCAGAGGGAGGGAGGGAAACACAGCGAUUGGACAUCCUAUUUGUCCUCGGUUCGGGGGGGCUGUUUUGCCUCGGGCCUUCACUCUGUAAUAGAAGACAGACACAACAUGGCCUUUUUAAACACCUCGAUCAGGCCGGGUUCUCUCAUCUGCCCACUAGAACGAGCCAUUUAAUCCUCAACUUUGGCUAUGAUUAAUAGUGGUCUGACCCUUCACCUCCAUCUAUAUAAAUUCUCAGGAGGCCUUUUUGGCUCUUCUCAACGCCUCACACCUCUGCUCGCAGAGGUCUUGAGCCUGUACUUAACUCUUCAUUGUGAUAUCUCUUGGCUCAGUUCUGUCUUUUAUUAUUGUUCUCUUUUUCCAUGUUUUUCUCCACUUUAAGCAAUGUGUUUGGGCCUCAGGAGAUGUGAGACCACCGUUACGAUACACCCUGCUAUGGUUGCUUUGACAGCCGACCUCCUCCUCUUUCUCCCUCUCUUAAAGUGGGUGAUAAAUGGGACAAGGGCCUUUUGCUCUCCUUUGUACUUUGACCAUUCACAACAAGCCCAUCCGUAAAAGCGAUUAUGGCCUCUUUCAGUGGCAUUGACAAUGGUUUCCAAUCCUGAGGAAUGUACGGAUGAAUAUACACUGCAAUUUUUGUCUGAUUAAUUGUUUAGUCAAUACAGUGUCUAAGGUGACAACUGCAAAUAGCCUGUUACAUCCAACCAACAAAUUGGACAAACUGGACUUAUUUGCUUAAUAAAUGACUUACGCAAUUAAUUAAUUUUCAAAACUGUUGUAUAUUAAUCAACUAAUCGUUUUAGCGCUACUGGAAUCCAAUUUAAAGGAAGUUUUUAGACACGUAAUUGAUUUCCUUUUUAUUGGGAGGCCAUUUUGUUUUGUUGAUUCCACUUAAAUGUGGACAUGACUGAGGGCUGAGGAAGAAGGUGUGCUAUGAGGAACACAAAAGCAUGUGAGAUCAUUAGGGCGUUUGCUGAGGUGUUCAGCAUUGUCCACCCCGAGGGAAGGUCUUGAUCGUCACAACCCCCGGGUUCACAUUCCUUAACCCCAGGGUCAGGGCUUUGUCUGAGGAUAGCACUGAGGCAACUUCCCCUGCGGAAAUCAACAAAAGCUGACACACUGACCGCAGGAGACGCACACAGAGGCAGGAAGAGGGACCACCACACACACAGAGGCACAUGCAUGAUCGUAAACGUGGCAGUUUUGUCUAAAAACCGAGAAAACUGUGAAAGCGUGAAUGUGUUUGAGGAGCAUUAAAUGCAAAUCACAUUGAGUGCAUCAGAAAUUACAGUGAUAAUCUCUCAUUGCACAGGAAAACUGUGGGAGUACAAAACAUCGCCAAGUAUGGAUAGGAAACCACCUUCCAAGAAGACUACCGGUAAACUGUGAGGAAUGUUUGCAUUGGACCGUUCACCUUCAUUUUCUAUAUCAAAAGACUUCUUUUCAUCUCAGCAAUUAACUUGAUGAGCAAAAUGUAAUUAUCACUGAUAGCAGUGAGGGCCAAAUCCACAAAAAUAAGACCCAAGUUGUAAAAAGCUGUACUAAUUCUUUAAAUGGAGACCAAGUUGAAAAAUCUGCAGUGCAUUACCUCAGAAAAAUAAUAAUAACUUUCUGCUGGUA